AGUUCAAGGAUCUUUAAGAAGCAUAUUCCCACAAUUAAUGAAAAAAAUAUAUAUUUGUUUCCUUUGCCAUAAGCUCAUUAUUGCUUUCCUUCAAGCUCAAGGGCCCUAAGAGGUUUGGAAAAGCAAUUUUGCCUAAUGAUGGCCUAAUCUAUACCCGUUAUUAUUUAAUAAAACUCAACCAGCGGAGAUUCAGAGGAUAAAUAGAGAAACUUGUUAAGUUCAGAAUGUCAACAUCAAGCUACCCAUGUGAUCUGUCAAAGUCAUUCAGGAAAAUUAGACAGUUAAUUAUCAACUCUAAAGCAAGUGGGUUUAGUUAAUUACUUUAAUGUCGGCGAAAAGCUUGAUUAAUUUAAUCUAGUGACAACACCAUCUACAAAUGGAACCUCGAGGGAACCACAGUAAUCCACCCAGAGAGAAAAAAAAAAAGAACAAAUAAAUAAAGCAGUUUACAGUGAUUCUUCAAAUAAUAUAUUUGUUUGGCUAGUGGGAAAGGUAAGGUUGGCAUCCUGAAAUCUAAGACCUCAUAAUAAUGCAAGGUAUCUCUCUUCCUCUUUUAUUUAACAACCAUCAUUAGCACAGUGACAAGAUUUAGGUCAUGAUCAAUGUUGUAAUUUUAUUGAUGCCGGCAUUCUUUAUACUUGUUUAUCUUACCAUCCAUAAAUUAGCACAAAUAAUUUAUUCUAGGCUGAGAAAUUAGAAUACAAGCGAAACAAGAACAACAUAGGGGAAGUUACAUGAAUGUUAUUUAUUCAAAUCGAAACAACAGAGAAUGUGCCCUCACUCGAGCAUGGUGAUGGAUUGAAUGAAUUGGCAAACGAAGCUACUGUGACUUCAUCACUCGUCAGAGCAUUAAUGAUUUCUUCAUCACUUUAUACGUCCCAUGCUGUUAAGCAAUGUUAAUUAAGGCCUCAAAUCAAUGAUUAAUUUUCUGUUAAGGAAUGGUUGAAAUAGAGAAAUUCUUUGGCCCACAGUUUAUUUAUGGUGAGAAGGGAGCAAAAACCACCACAGAGUUGUGACCACCAAAGCCAAAUGAAUUUGAGAUAGCUGCAUAAACAAGAAAUUAAAAAAACAAACCAUUAGUUAAAUAAGAUAUAUAAUUAUUCCAGUUCUAGAAGGCGUACAGCUAAAGUACGCUAACUGUUUGACAAGUUUGUUUGUGUAGUAUUAGCUAGGUCGAAUUAGUAAUCAACGAGUAUAGUAAUAUAUAUUCAAAGAUUCUAAAAAUAUUUUAUGCGAAGCCAAGAACCGAAACACGUACCAACGUUAACGUGAUGCUGUUUCUUCACAUUUGGAACGGUGUCGAUUGUAACCUCAGGCUCCAAGUUCUGCCAGGAAAAGUAACAUAAGUCCACAAAAUGUAUUAGAAAAAAAUAUUGUCGGCUCUUUAGAUGAAAUGGAGAAAAGUCUUAAGGGCUGAGAAAGAGUACAUCUUGGUUAAGGGUUGGAUGCAACCAGCCAGUGGUGAUUGCUUUUAUGGUUGUUAUAGCUUCCAAUCCGCCAGCUGCCCCAAGCCCAUGUCCAAUCAUCGACUGAAUCAUGAAAUAAGAAACAUAGGGGAUUACAUUAACUCUCAUUUAAGAUCAUGAUAUAUAUGAUUAAUGGGAUAUUUAUGUAUCUCACCUUAGUUCCAUUCAUCUUCAUUUCAGAUGUGUCCUUGAAGACCUUCUUAAUUGCAUUAACCUCAGCCAAAUCCCCUGCUAAUGUGGAUGUUGCAUGAGCAUUCACGUAGUUAACCUGUAUACAAAUUGAAGUUUCACAUUAAUCUAGAGGUCAUUCAAAUGAAAUUUUUUAAGAUUUAUCUAACCUCUUCAGGGGAAACUCCUGCAUCUUCUAAACUCUUGGCUAUGCAAGAUGAAACUCCGAGGCCAUCUGACCUUGGAUCUGUCAUGUGAUGAGCAUCACAGGUUACCGCACCUCCCAGAUACUCGGCAAUUAUGUUAGCUCCUCUUUUCAUUGCAUGCUCCAAGCUCUCCAUAACCUGUUCAGUUUCACAAAGAGCAAAGUUAGCACAAACAAAAAAUGUCAAGAAAAAAUAAGGACGACCAAUCAAACUAUGUAUAUAUCCUGCAGAAAACAGACAGGAUUUUUUUAAUUAUAAUUAUUAUUUAUAAUUACUAACCAGUAUGCCACAGCCCUCUCCCAUGACAAAGCCAUCGCGAUCUUUGUCCCAAGGUCUCGAAGCUCUUUUGGGGUAUUCAUUCCUUUGGGACAGAGCUCGACAAGCAAUAAACCCACCAACCCCAGUAGGUAUAAUAGCAGCCUCAGUCCCACCAGCGACCAUGAUAUCUGUUUCACCUCUUCUGAUGUGAUUUGCAGCAGCGUAAAAGCAAUAAUUAGCAGUUGCACAAGCUGUUGAAAUAGAAUAAUUUGGUCCCAUCAAACCGGUGUCUAUGGCUAACAAUGCUGAACCCAUGUUGGUGAUUGAAUACGGUAUGAAAAAUGGAGUUAUCUUCUUAUAUCCCUUUUGAAUAAGAGCUUCAACUCCAGUGGUAAAAGACGUGAGGCCUCCCAUGCCUGAUCCCACUACAACUCCAAUUCUUGUUCUGUCCAUCUGCACACAUGGAUGAAAAAAUUAAUUUAAUUCUGAUUAGUGCUGAGUCUAGAAAAAUGAAAGGGGGAGGGGCUGCCACUGCCACAUGAUGUAGGGUGUUGUGUGUUGCGAGCAGUGUAUCUUCUGGAGAUCCUAACUUGGGUUACAGUUGUCUGUUUUCGGCGUAUAAUAUAUUGUUUUGAAGCUUAUGAUGAGACAAACAAAAUCCACAAUUGUCUAAGCUGUUCCGCUCCGUGAUCAAACUGGAAAUUCCGUUUCUUUCCUGGUCAUUUUUUAGUUUUAAAAUUCUUUCCUAUUUUUCCUUAUUCUUCUGGGAUUUUUAUCUUUUUUUUUUUUUUUCUAAAACUCAGAUUUGAAUACCAUUUGUUUUUCUUUUCUUAUUUUGAUUAGAAUAGUUUAAUUAUCAUAUUAGAUUUUAGAUUUGCCUAUUUUAAUAAAUUCGCGUUAUUUAGACUUAUUAUAAAAAUAGUUCAAAAUCCUAAUUUUAUUCGUUCAAGACUUUUCAAUAAAACUUAUCAUUAUUCAGAAAUCUACUUUCUUAUACCAGAAAACUCAAUAAAGUUUCCGUUUCGUCACCACAUUUUGCUACUUAAGACAAUGUGACUGACUUACAUUUUCGAGGACUUGAGGGCUGAGGCUGGCUUCUUCAAGGGCUCUUCUGCCAGCAACCAAGCAGUACCUCCAGCAAUCAUCAAGCCGCCGAUCAUUCUUUCCAUCGAUGUAGCCUUUGGAAGAAAAAUCACGAAUCUGGCCCCCAAAUCGAACAGAGAAGCUCGAAGCAUCAAAUCUGUCGAUUGGGCUAAUUCCGCUCUCUCCCUCUAGAAGUUUGUUAUAAAAUUUAUCAAUGUCACUGCCAAAUACUGAUACAAGUCCCAUUCCAGUAAUGACAAUUCUUUUUUUGGGAUCUUUUUCCCUCUUGGGAGCUGAAGCCGUUGGGGAAGCCAUAACCCUGAUGGUUCUGCAUUUUGGACCUGUGAGUGGAUGUGAAACUAAUUUAAAACCACAUGAAUAGUAGCUACUCGCAGUACUACCCCUAAAGAGAUAAGUUAUUGAAUCAUAAAACUUUAAAAAACAUUGGGAUCACAUUCACAUCCAUAAAACGCACAUACGUAGUCUAUGUUUAAUUCGUAUGAGCUGAGCUAUAAAGCUUCCUAUUCCUCAUUUGGCCUUAGCAACAAAUAUUUCUAACCAAUAACUGAAAUGACCAAGAAUGAAAUAUAAGUAAUACCUGAAGAACAAAUUAACCCACUUUGCUUAAUAGUAGUAGUAAUGCCAGCUGAUGCAAAUUGAAAGUUCUCCGCUGGCCUAAGCCCACUGUACUGAGCUAGAGAAGCAGCCCCAUUGCUCUUUACUUGUCUGUUUCCAAAAACCACCCCGAGAGCAGAAGCCGUGCUAACAAAGCUUGCCAUUUGCACAACUCUUCUAAUCAAUGCGAGUCUCUCUCUGUCUAACUGAAACAGGUUGUGGUAAUUGAAUACAUAUAGAAGAAAAAACUAAAGUGAGAGCUUUGGGUUUGCAGUGAAAGAGGACUUAACAAUGAAAGCACUUCGUUUGUUUCGUUCAAGUUUUGUUCAUUUUGGUAAGGGACAGAUUUUGGCGAUGGGAGCAAAAUAAACGCAAUGCACUCCCCCUUUUUCUUCAUUUCGUUUUAACCGCUUAACUACCCCGAACAACCAACAUUUCGGUAGUUUAUUGCCUCGUGUCUGCUGUUUGCCACGUGUCACUCUGUAACCGCCAUUUCGUUUCUGUUUUUCGCCUUUCCAAUUGCACCGCGCGUCGACGUUAAUGUAGCGUCCCCACGCUACCUGGGGCCAGGGCCGACCCGCACUCUUUCGCACUUAAAUUUGAAAUUGAAAGUCCCAAAAAAACUGGUUCAAUUCAUAAAUAAAUUAGUUGCCUCCAAAAUUGGUGUUUGUUUGGGAGGUCUUCAAAUAAUCUUUUAAUCGAUCGCCCAAUUUCAAAUCUUGAACUGCUUACAAAAUUAUUUAAAUUUUGAAAACGUACCAGAUUAUACAAAGCUAUUAGAAUUUAGAAACCUGCAAUUUUGGUUCGGUUUAUUAGGCUUGUUAUUGUAAAUCAGAAAUGGCAACCAAGGAAUUUGGAUCUUGCCGACUUGGGCUGGGGUCAAAUACGCGUGUCGGUUUAGUGAUAUUAUAUCUGGGCCCAUCUGACAUUGGUCCAUUUGGUUAAGACAAAUGGUUUUAAACAUAGGUGUUUGACUGGUCAUAAGUCUUUAUCACAAGAAAUUUUAAAAUAUAAUGAAGAAAAUAUAACUAAUUAAUAUAUUUAUGAUAUGCAUAAUUAAAAUUAAUAUACUCAUCACUUGUAUGAUAGUUUUUUUAAAAUAAAUACAUAUAUGUUAUAACAUCAUUUACUUAUACACAAUAUCUUUUAUAUAUUUUAGAAUUUCUCUUUAUCACUAAUACUACUAAUAGCAUUACAUUUUUGCCACAAAAAAUAAAUUAUAGGGGUUUGCAAAAUUCUCCAAUAGCACCUUUUUUUUUCCCUCUCCAAUUUUCUUUUAAAGGAAUGAAUUGCAUUUACUAAACCUAAUUUGAAACUUCUUAUUCGUUUAUCUGUUUAACUGUUUUCUUUGUUGUUUGUUCUUCUUAUUUCAAUUUGCUUCAUUUUUAGAAGAUUAGAAUCAAUUCAAACAGAACCAAAAACAAUCGGUCCGGAAAAUUCUUAUCCGAUUUCAACUCAAUUAAGGCAAAAUGGCCACCUUAAAGUAGAUGGUUAAGCUGUCAAGAGCAUACAUUGCGAGCAACUUUACAUAAUUAAUCUCUCUAAUACAAUCAUAUAGAUGGAUGAGCUAAAAUUCUACACUCUUAUUAUUACACAAUAUUUUAUAAAAGAAAUAAGAAGUCUGAAUUUCCCCUACCUAAACCUUUGCCACAAGGCAGUUCACUUGUUGAUGAAUUGGACCGGCAACCAGGCCACCCGAUAUCCUCAUAUAUAGCAAUACUUUCAGUUACAAACACCAGCAAUAAAAUCAUCGCCGUUACCAUCGAAUAAUGAUAGACUAUUUUACUUUGGGCCUAAUUCUGAAUCAAGAAUCGAGCAUUAACUGUGCGAGUUUCUUGAUCCCCUAAUCAAAUUACACGCAGCUACCAGCGAUCAUGUAUCCUGAUUUUGGGAGUGUAAGAUACGUGAAGUGGAUUGCAAUAUUAUCAAACAAAUGUCGCUAAGCAGUUUAAUUAAUUUAGAAGAUAUUAGUAAGGAAAAUGCUAUUUGAACAUCUAGUAGGAAGAUAAAAACGACAAUAUAGUAAUAUAAACAGUACUAUCAUUUUGUAUGCUGUAGUAUUACUGUAAUAUGAACCAUAGCUAUAUUUUUGUCUUCCUGCUAUCUUGCUACUGUUCAAAUAACAGUAUUCUAAUAGUAAAUAAAUACUAAAAAUAGAGUGAAGGAAAGGCAACUGGCUCUAAGCUCUAGCCUCUAGCUCUACUUGUUUUAACUUUUUGACACAAUUUAGCUGUCAAAAUUAAGCUAGGCAAUUGUUGUUGUAUAAAAAUGAUAAUAAAUCACUUUUAUUUGACUAACCAUAGUGGCGUCUACCAAACAUUCGUAAAAGUUAAAACAACUAGAUCUUUCAUUUCACAGCAGUCCACGGGGAACCUGAAACAUGUUUCUUUCUUCCAUGUUUAAUGGUUCAUGUACGUUUCAUGUCUAAGUAAUUGAGCUGAGAGGCAAUGAAAAUGUUGAAUGCGUUCGUACAAGCCAAGAAAGCCCCAGCAAGCAGCAGCCAGCGGAACUUUUGAAAGUAAUCAAGGAAUACGGAACCCAGACACACACACACACACACACACCCCAUCUAACGGUCUGUGAUACGACUCUCUCCAGUCUGCCGGUGGCAUUAUUGCCCAUGUCCAUUAUAAAGCAUAACGACUGUUUUGUUUUAUCAAUCUCUAGCUGGUUAUGAAUUUAUAAUUGGUUUAAAAUCUGAGUAAGGAAAGAUAGAGCAGUCUGUUGAUCAUCAGAUGGUUAGUGGAGAGUGGUUUCAAAGAUCUUGUGGUGAGGCACAAGUCUGUUUAUCAUAUCAUCUUUAAUUGGCCCAAAUAUACAAAGCCCAAUUUCCUUUUUUAUUUGAUUUGGGUCCACAAUGCCGGCCAAUUCUUUUCAAUGCGCCACGUUCGUCCUGCUACAGUGACUUGCCGGUUGAAUUGGUUGCAUCCAUUGCAGCUUUUGGUAAAAAGGAAAGGAAAUUUUUAGCAGAUUAAUAAGGACCUGUCUAUGGUACAGAUUCUGUAACAAACAUCUCCCGUCAUCCCACCAUCCGAUUUUCUAUUGUUCAGUUUCUCACUCCACAUCCAACCACAUCCAACGGCUGAUGCUGCAGUCUGUACCUUACAGAUUCUGUAAGCUAGUCGAGUCCGAUUAAUAAUUAUGGCUUCGGAUUCGCCCAUAAUAAGAUUUGGUCAUUGAGCGUAAUUAUAACGUCAAAAUCCACGUGUGAUGCUGUAGAUGUGAUUGAUACACAUGUAACGUCCCAAAUUCACAUGCCAAAGCCAAGUCACAGACCCACAGUGUAAGAUUUAAUAAUACGGGAAAAUUUGGCACUUUCUCAAGAUCCUUAACACUUAAGCCAAAAGCACAAAAAACGAGCAGCCCUUGUGUGUGUGAACUCAAACUCUCCAAGUCAUCGAAGCUCCAAGAAGACCUUCUAGAAAAGGGACAAAAUAUCAAGAUGGAAAGAGACAUUUAUAGAUAUAGCCCCAGGCUGAGAUAAAUUCACAACAAUAGCCCUUUCAUUAUUCUUUAUUUUCAAUAAUUAGAAAAUGACCAUUUCAACCGACUGACUUUAAUGUCUCUAAGUAAUAGGUCCUUUCCCCGCCCACCACCACCCCCAAAAAAAACAAAAGAGUAAUAAGUUACGGUAGAGAUGCAAUGACAUGCAAUCAGACAACAAAAUUAUAUAAUUUAUCUAAAUGCUUAUAUGAAUUGUAUGCUGGCCUCUCAUGAACCAGUUGCUUAAUAUAUUAUUAUUUUUUGAACUUAGGCUAUUUUUGUAAAAUUGUCCAGAUCGAAGCUACUCUCCCACGAACUCAACUAUCCACUUUCUGUGUAUUUGUCUCUCUCUCUUCUCUCUCCUCUUCCCCUUCCACCACGUCACCUCCUCAAACCGCGUUUCUGCCGUCACCUCUCUCGCAUUCGCUCAACUACAAAAUUCAAUUGAUGAGAUAUUUUUCAAAAGGAAAAAAAUCAAAAUAAAUGUAAUUCUUAUCGAUCUUCUGGUGACUUUCUACUUUGACAAAUCCACACGCAAUCGUAAUACUAACAACCGCUCUCUCUCUCUCUCUCAACUCACUUUCUCAGAAAUUUCUUGUUUGCUUAAUCUAAUCUUACCCCUUAUUUAACACACACGCGCACUCUCUCUCCCUCCCUCUUAUCUCUCUCGUACAACACCAAACUUAAAGAUUUGAUUUUCCCCUGUUUUUGCUCUCUUUAAAUAACCCUUUUUAUAUAUUUGUAGAGAUUAGGGAUAUACAAAGAAAAGAUACCACAUUCGUCCCGGAUCAUACAUAAAUUUUCUGUUUUCUCGUGAAUUAGUGUCUGAGAUGGAGAACAAUCAGCAGUCGUUUUGGCAAUUCAGUGAUCAACUGAGGGUGCAAGCAUCAAACUUGGCUAAUCUGUCACUCAACGACUCGAUCUGGAGCAACAAUUAUGGGUCGAAGAGGCCGGAUGAAAGGAGGAAUUUCGACAUCAGAGUCGGCGGUCAAGUGAAUGUGAAUCCAUUCACUAAAGGGUCUGAUUUGAACGCCUUCGAUGAUGGUUACAAGAGUAUGAGCAGCAACUACAACGAUAUUGGCCUAGGCCCUAUCGGCCAGAUUAUGGCCCCUGCCUCGGCCUCUCAAAAGAAUGUUGGGAUCAACGGUGGAUUCAACAAAGGGAUUUAUUCAAAGCCAGGUCAUUUUGGUCUUAGCACCAUCAACACCAACAACAACAACAACAUCAACAGUUAUAUGAAUGUUAAUUUGAAGGGGAAUAGGAAUAGGGAAGAGAAUGAUCAUCAUGGACUUGGAAGCAAGAGUGGCAAGAAGAACAGCAACAAGAAGAACAAUAACAAAGAUGGUGACAAUAAUUCCGAUAAUAAGGACACUAAGACUGCUGCUGAUAAGAGGUUCAAGACUCUCCCACCCUCGGAGGCUUUGCCGAGACACGAAACCAUUGGUGGCUAUAUUUUUGUCUGUAACAAUGAUACCAUGGCUGAGAAUCUCAAAAGACAGCUGUUUGGUAUGUAUAUGCUCUCUUUUCCCUUUCCUUUUCUUCUUUUUUUUUUCAAAAAAUGUUUUUGUGUAGGAGCAAAUUAUUUUCUUCCUAGAUCAGAUUAUUAUUUGGACUAAGGAUCAUCAAUUUAUUUAUUAUUAUUAUUUUUUUAGAUGACCUAUAUGGGGUUGAAUUUUUUUUUUUUUUUUUUAACUUUUGAUUUUAAUUGUUGCUUUUAUUUUUCAGGAUUGCCACCACGUUACAGGGAUUCGGUGAGAGCUAUAACCCCUGGCUUGCCCCUUUUCCUUUAUAACUAUUCCACCCACCAGCUGCAUGGAGUUUUUGAGGUUUGUAAUUUCACAGUCAGUUUUUUGUGUCUCGUAAAGUUGUGUUUAUUUAAUUGACAUCCUGACGAUCUUUCUGUGUAGGCUGCUAGCUUUGGAGGCACAAAUAUUGAUCCUACAGCCUGGGAAGACAAGAAAUGCCCUGGCGAAUCACGAUUCCCAGCUCAGGUAAUUUUCAUCUCUGUUUUAUAUUUGUAGUCAUUGAACUUUUUUUUUAUCGUCGUGGAUUGUGAGAUUAAUGAUUUGAGUAUUGAUGAAAACUUCCUCUGUAUUUCCCCUCAGGUCCGGGUUGUUACACGGAAAAUCUGUGAACCGCUUGAAGAGGAUUCCUUCAGGCCAAUUCUCCAUCACUAUGAUGGCCCCAAGUUCCGCCUUGAACUAAAUGUGCCUGAGGUAAUUUGAUAUUAGUGUUAGUUUAGUCUAAACAUUUUGUUCACUGUGACUUCAUAUUUGAUUCUAAUUUGUCUUCUGGUUUGAUUUUUAACAGGCAAUUUCUCUCUUGGACAUAUUUGAAGAACAAGACUCUUGAGCAAUUGCUGCAAUACAACCAUAUGAAACAAAAGCUUACAGAUACAAGUACCAGUUAGUGAAGUUACACAGCAUAAAAGUGGUUUGAUGAUACAAAUAGGGAAAGAAUUUAAGAGUUUGUGGCCUUCAUUAUAUUGAUAGUUUAGAGAGAGUAUGUGAGGGGAAGUAUGAGAGCUGAAUAUGCACAGUGUCCUUGAUGUAAACAUUUUGUGAGGAGGCUGUUGUUGUGUGUUGUCCUUUUUGUUCUUUUGUUUUAGCUUAUACAUAAAUAAGAGCAAAUUAUAAAGACUUUAUCUAAAGUUCUGGUAUAAUACCGGUUUUAUUUGCAUAUGAUGAAUGCAAUGCAAAAGUUCUGGAUGUUUCUCUCUCUGUACCCUGGCAAGGAUAUGCUCUUCAUUCGAAGCCCCAUUCGUUUGU
rnacentral:lncRNA from 1 species